rnacentral:lncRNA from 1 species
GUUUGAAGAUAAUGUGUCUCGAGUAUAAUUUCAAAUGUUUGUAACGACCCUGGGUUUAUAAGCGCGGAUAUCGACUCUGCCGCUUGAGCAUGCUUUUGCGGCACAGUCGAUAGCGCGCUGGACUUCGGGCUAGAAGGUCAAGGGUUCGAGACCUGCUCCCUCCCUGUUUCAUUACAUUGGUGUCAGAAGUGGGAUCGGACCUUGCAUCCACGACAGUGCGUAUGCUUGGCCGGUGAGCAUGUUCCUAUAAGACUGUAACGACCUUGGGUUUAUAAGCGUGGAUAUCGACUCUGCCGCUCCAGCAUGCUGGAGCGGCACAGUCGAUAGCGCGCUGGACUUCGGGCUAGAAGGUUGAGGGUUCGAGACCUGCUCUCUGCCAGUUUCAUUACACUGGUGUCUAGUGUAACGACCCUGGGUUUAUAAGCGUGGAUAUCGACUCUGCCGCUCCAGCAUGCUUUUGCGGCACAGACGAUAGCGCGCUGGACUUCGGGCUAGAAGGUCAAGGGUUCGAGACCUGCUCCCUGCUGUUUCAUUACAAGACGUUGAGUCGCAAGCUAGCGCGAGGGGCUAGUGCUCUGCCAUAGUUGAAUUUGAACUUUUAGAUUUGUAUCAUUUUACUUCAGAUUUUUAUGAUUAACCACAGGACAAUGAUUUAGAGAAACGAAAACGUUAUUAUUGAAAUUAAACUUCCACGAAAAUGUGCAUAUAUAAAUAUCGGUAGAAAUGGCAGGAUAAAUUGUAAGCUUCCCCAAACUUGAAACUCAUGAGCCGCCUAAAUGCGUGCAAGCGCGUGAACACAUAGGACGUCUUGUGAAAGAAACGGGCCCACCUCAAAUACUCCUCCAACUUGUCUUGUUUUGUACGCUUUGUACAAAAUAAUAAAACGCAGAACUACAGGAUGUUUCUUAACAUAACUCUUUAUUAAUUAACUAGCUACAACUGCAUGUUCGCCUAUCUCCAACCACGAUCAACUGACCAUGGCCUAACCGUCUGGGUGGUCUUAACCAAUCACCGCACAGUAGGAUACGGCGGUAAAAUGCAUCCAAUUAUAAUUCGGUAUGUAUUCACAUAUGAAUAUUACAUCCCCCUUCUUUUAAAACAAAAUACAAAUGUUUUACAUAUUCUAAGCUUUUCUUUUGAAUACAUGCUCUGUAGUUUGAACAAAAGGUAAGUAACCAUUUAUAUUGCAUAAUACACCAACUGAAUCAACAUAGACUCUGAAACAAUGAUCCAACAUACUGUUACUUUUCAAACAAGGGAUUCUCAGCAACUCAGCUUUCACUGUAGAAAUGACAUCUUAACAUUUCAAACAAAUACAAUACCAAAGCAUGUCAAGUGAACUUUCAAUAACAAGUUUACAGUCUGGAACUCUUUUAGGGCAGCGAUCCGCCUACACCCUUUGACAUUUCACAGGUCGAGGACAGCUCUGGGCUUGACCUCUCUUCCUGACCUUGUGCGAUAUGAUGUUGAGCAUGCUUCUGUGUCAGUCAACAGCUCUUGUGGUGUUGCAGUAAGUGACGACGAUUGCGGCGGUACACUGCUCCUUCUGCUGUGCGGACGUGAUAUGAACGUUCAGUGUCAGCUGGGUGGAUGACGACUGCUGGUUUCCAGAGGCCAUGCUCCUGGAUUCUAACUGACUCUCCGUCGAUCAGUGGUGGCAGUGGUCUAGCUGACCUGCCGUAGUAUCGCUUUUGUUGUUGUUGUCUCUGUGCACGUUUUUCAUGCAUUUCCUUGUAGCUGACGACCUCAGGUUGCAGCUGCUGGUUGGUGCUGGGAAGGGUUGAGCGAAGUCUGCGGCUCAUCAACAGCUGGGCUGGUGAUUUGAAGUUGUCAACUGGAGUGUUGCGGUAUUCAAGGAGACUGAGGUAGGGGUCUCUCUUGUCUGCUUUUGCUUUGUCCAUGAGUGAUUUAACAAUCUGCACAGAUUUUUCAGCAAGGCCAUUACUUUGAGGGUAAUGUGGGCUUGUGGUGACAUGUGUGAACUCCCAUGCUUUUGUGAAGGAUUCAAACUCAUUUGAUUUGUAACAGGGCCCAUUGUCAGAUAUUAAAGUCUCUACAAUGCCAUGCCUGGCAAAGGCUGCUUUCAGCUUGUGUAUCACAGCUGCAGAUGUGGUGCUGUGAAGCUUGUCGAGUUCGAAGUAUCUGCUGUAGUAGUCCACUGUUACGAUGUAGUCCUCGUUGUUCCAGGUGAACAGAUCGGUUGCCACGACCUGCCAGAGUCGGUCUGGGAUACAGUGAGGUAACAUGGGCUCUUUGGUGUUUGAGGGGCAUCUUUCAAGACAGAUGGUGCAUCUACCAACAAUGUCCUCUAUUUGUUUGCACAUUCCAGGCCAAAACAAAAUGUCCCGUGCUCUCUGUUUGCACUUUUCCAUGCCCAUGUGUCCAGCAUGGAUCUUUGUCAAAAUCUCUUCUCUGAG